CAGUCGCCACGGUAAUACGUAGGGUGCAAGCGUUAAUCGGAAUUACUGGGCGUAAAGCGUGCGCAGGCGGUUAUAUAAGACAGAUGUGAAAUCCCCGGGCUCAACCUGGGAACUGCAUUUGUGACUGUAUAGCUAGAGUACGGCAGAGGGGGAUGGAAUUCCGCGUGUAGCAGUGAAAUGCGUAGAUAUGCGGAGGAACACCGAUGGCGAAGGCAAUCCCCUGGGCAUGUACUGACGCUCAUGCACGAAAGCGUGGGGAGCAAACAGGAUUAGAUACCCCCGUAGUCCCUGUCUCUUAUAC
rnacentral:rRNA from 1 species